AUUGACACUGGCUCAACACAAGGCUGAAAUAAGAGAAGCCAUAUUGUAGAAAAGUAACCAUACUGUAACUUUGAAUGACGUAUGAUUCACUAACUCAGCUGGAUAUGCACCCUCCAGAUCCACCUGCUCUGGAGAUUUUAUGACCCCUGCUUGUGCAUGUACCUCCCAGCUGCGGUAAGACUAUAACUUCUUUCUUCUGAGUUCCUUAGGAAAGUGAUGACCCUGAACAGAGAGUCUAUGCUGAUAGCCAUCACCAAUGAAAACUGAAAGAUCUGGAGUGACGACUCCUAGGUCGCCAUUCCUAGCCCUCUCCCCUACAACCCACUGGCCUGUACAACUCCUUUAAGAUUCUGUGUUCCCCUGAAGAUGGUUCUUCUGGACAUUAGUUGGCCACCUUCCCUCUUGCUAGCAACUUGCAGUAAAAUGCCCUUUCUCUGACACCAUCUUGCCUCUUGACGAUUGGCAUUUGUCUUGUGGCGAACAGAUCACACCUUUUGUGUAGUAAUAGUAUUAAAUGACAUUUUAACAUAUCUAGACUAUGAAGAAAUCAUGUCUUUCAUAGCAAGAAAAAAAAUCUUAAGAAGAAAACUAAUAUGUAUCAUUAGUUCUUGUGGGAAUGUUAGUUCCAUUAGGAGAAGUAUAUGAAUGGUAUCCAUUAAGAGUCUAUAAUUGCAGAAAUAUGGAAAUGUGAAUAUCACAAUCCACAAUAUGAUACUACAUGCAGUCUAAUUUCAGGAUGACAAAUUGGAAAGUUGCCCCUGCGUCCACAAAUCAAAAACACCCAGAUAUUAACAUUUCAGUGUCAUUUUCUUCUUGGCAGUUUUCUAUAAAGUGAAAUAGACGAACUACAUUUUAAAAUAUACCUUAUACUUUGGGGCUCAAAAAAAGAAGCAAUUUUGAUUUUAAAUGAAAAAACGUAGCCCAUAAAAUUUAAUUUUCCAUGGGUUGGCUCUUGUGCAAAAACCUCUGGCUCCCCACUGGGUUAUGUACAAAUGAGCAAAUGUUCUAGCAGAACCAAGUGGGUCUCUCCACCUCAUGUGCCAAUUACUUUAUAAACACACUGUAAGCUCUUUCACAAAGAAAAGAAGAACCUUGUUAGUGUUGUGAUGACCAAUUCAGUUGGAUAACAGUGGAAGGAUAGGGAGGAAAAGGAGAAAAUGUGGUAUUGGGAGGGAAAAGUGUGCGCCGACUGCCUCAGGCCCACAGUAAUGUUCACUAGAUCAUUGUUAAAUCCUUUGACAGAAGACUAAGUGUAGGCAGUCCACGGAGCCCAGAGCUAAAUUCUAAAUCAUAAUGGAUCAGGACAGACAUGUGCAAAGUCUUGAGGAUCUGAGGCUAGCAAGGCUUACCUGUAACCUGAUUGAAGGUAUUAAAACAGCUAAAGAAAGAAUUUGUCAAUCAGAAGGAGGAUUAGCAGGUAGCAAUAGAAGCGCAGACAAAAUGACAGAGAGAAAGUUUGAGACUUUUCAAGUGCCUAAUGUGAAUGGACAGUCUAAUAUUUUAAAUUUUCAACAAGAAAAUAAAAAAUUGAUGUAUAAAAAUCAGCUAUUUUUUAAAAACAACAUGUUAACAUCCAGUGGUGUAAUGCACAGUGAAUUUGGAUGCAUAACUAGGCUUCACUACGGCCUAGAUGUAAUUUCAGGGUGCAAGCCGCAUCAACUAGUGCAGUUCCCAUUAUGUGGUUAUUUGUCUGGGACCGAGUUCUGAAGUUAUUUCCAUGGGGCUCUUUCAGAUUGCUGAGCUCUCCACCCAGGCCCCUUGUGUGUUCCUGACGCAUCAACCCUCC
rnacentral:lncRNA from 1 species